CAAUGAUGUGUUGGUUGGAUGUUAGUGCUGCCUGCCAUGACCAUCACAUUGGUGUCAAACAAACAAUACAAUGUUUCAAUGGCUUUGCACGUGACCCACGCGUGAUCUAUGGCUUUUCCAUCGGAUCAAAUCAUUGUAGGUGCAGGAUCGUUUGCACGACCAAAACGAGUCGUUCAGAAGAGUUCUAAUCAAUACAAGAGGCGGAAACAGGCGUAUCGGAGUUGAAUCAGCUUGAUAUACACUUUAACUGUCUUGUUUAUUGAUUUAACAACGUUUUACAGCCUAGAGACACUUCGGCAGCACCUCGGCACCGGAAUCACAAAGUUACAAACGAAAUGAUUAAGGCCACUAUAUAUAGAGGAUUCAUUUCGCACGAAACAGUCUCAAGCGAAAUGGACUUUGCAUUUCGUACGAAAUGGAUACAUCCAUUUCGCGCGAAAUGACCUCAUCUACUCUGAAACUCUAUUUUCUCGUACAACGUGCCCUGAUCUUUCUAAUCUAUCACAAGACUCGAUACAAGACGAAGUCGACAGGCAUAUGCACCAACAGACUCCCCCUUGGAUGUUGACGAAGUCUUCAGUGUCAAGUCUUCAAUAUCUUCAGUCUUUAUAAGUCUUCUCGCUCUUUCCAAAGAAUUCUCCAUUAUCUCUUGAUUCCUUAAGUUCAUCAGCAUCAGCAGCUUGUGUGAACAACAGGAUUCAAAACUGUCUCUUGCAUCUUCAGACUCCCCUUUGCUAGCAGACUCCCCCUUAAGUUGUUCCGGGAUCGCAAUCUGACAUAGCUCUUGCUUUAAGAUCAUAACCUGGCUCACAUUCUGCUCAGGCUUUAUGCGGAAAGUCUUCAGGAAUCGAAUCCUGGCUCCUUCAAAGCUGAUUCCUGCACAAACGUCUACCUCAAAAUAAAUUUCACAAAUUUAAAAUUUGACAAAUUUAUAAACCACUUGCAGAUAUCGUUCAAAAAUGAUUUAACAUAUAAAAUCUCUGAUAACCACUUGUAAGAAUAACAUUCAGAUUUGACAUUUUUAUUUCUAAAUCUUUUCGCAUUCCAAACAAACUCC